rnacentral:tRNA from 1 species
GCGUCGGUAGCUCAGCUGGUAGAGCACCUGGUUGAAGCCCAGGGUGUCGGUGGUUCAAUCCCAUCCCGUCGCA